rnacentral:rRNA from 1 species
GUUGCCAGCAGUUCGGCUGGGCACUCUAAAGGGACUGCCGGUGUUAAACCGGAGGAAGGUGGGGAUGACGUCAAGUCCUCAUGGCCUUUAUGACCAGGGCGACACACGUGCUACAAUGGCCGGCACAACGGGAAGCGAGUUCGCGAGGACGAGCGGAUCCCUCAAAGCCGGUCGCAGUUCGGAUUGAAGUCUGCAACUCGACUUCAUGAAGCUGGAAUCGCUAGUAAUCGUGGAUCAGCCAAGCCGCGGUGAAUACGUUCCCGGGCCUU